AGCAAACAUUAGUCUAAUGUCAGUUUAACAGCAGAAUUUCUUCUUAGGUUAAUAACAAGUUCAUUGUAUUAAUUUACUUAGGAGAAAAGGAAAAAUAUUUUCAUUUACACAGAACUAUACAUGGAUAAAUAAGCCACUGCUUCUCCUACCCUGGGUUUAGUUACCAGUACAAGGAAAGAACUUGCCAGAGGAGAAGGUAAGAACUUGAUAACAACAUUGUUGGACAUUUUGGCAACGUUUUGGUUUUUUUUUCCUUAGUCUCAAGCACCAACUUCAUGUGGGCUAGAACUUCCAAUAAGAAUCUACAAUAAGAACUUCCAAUAAGAAUCUACACCUUAGCAGUGAAAUGCCAAAAAAAAAAAAAAAGAAUGCAAGCAAUUUUAUUCACAAGGCAAGUGAAAACCAGCUUAUUCUCAACACACAAGGAAACAAAGCAGGAACUGGUCCCUUGGUCACACACUUCCCUCUGUCUCAGCCUGCAUUUGACUGGAAUUCCUAAAACUUUCUUCUGCUGAAGUCCUGAGGUAACCCUGUGCUCCAGAUAAUUCAGACCUUUGUGCAGAUGUGUACAGCACUAUUUGGAAUAGUCACAGCUCUAAGUGCUAAUGUAGAAAUGGCAGCUUCCCAAUAAAGUCAAUGAUCUGAUUAGUAGUGUAGCUAAUGAAAACAUUAAACAGGCUCGCUGAAUGCUUUUUCUUCAGCAUGCAGGAACCUAAAUCAAUUUAACUGAUAAGAGAAAUACCCAUGGUCAAGACUGAAAUGGUUCCAUGCAGGUCUCAUGUAGUAGGCUACAUGCAGAACACUCCCCAGGAGCUUCUUCAUCUCUGGCCUCUGAAAAUAAGGUAUCUAAAAAAAAAAAUUAAAACGGCAUGCAGUAGAACUAACUUUGAAGGUGUAAGAGGCAAGGUUAAUUUGUUAAAAUGUAUCAAGAACAUUACACUGUACAUUACACUAAAUAGGUUAUGCAAUUUCAUAGUAAUACCUUAAAAAGUUAUUUGUACCAUUUUUUAGGGAAAAAAAUAUCCUUGUACCAUGUGAUUAUUUUUCAUUCUAAAUUAACAAUCCUUGAGCUUCUAGAUGAGACUGUGUAAUAUGUUAAUUCCUUUUUGCAUUUUCAUUUCUCAGGCCAAUGUCGUUCCCUUUGAACUAAAGGAGCUCUGCCAGCUUUUUGAAUUUCAAAGUGCAUUUGAGCCUAUAAUUCAACAAUUGAUUUCCUUCAAAGUCUCUGGGAAGUGGGAGAUCAUCACCUGCCCACACUUGUUCAGCAGCACAGUGGAGGUAUCACUGCUUUGAUGACAGUUUGGCAGGAGAGGAAAAGCUGGUGUAAAUUCAUUGCUUGAGCAGUCCCCUGAGAUAUAAUGGUUAUAUGUAACCAUCACUCGCAGGUCUCAAGACUGAGACAGAAGCAGUGCCUCUAAGGAAGAGUUUUGCAUGUUCUGAAGAAUCACAAGCAAGCUUCACAUAUCUUAUACCUACAAGUGGAUUAACAAGGGGAAAAUUUUCUGAGGAUUAGCUGAACACUAACAAUUUGUGCUGUGAAGCUUCACCAUUGCUGUUUUGCUGUGCCAAGUAGAUACUAAGAGUUUUUAGUAGCUGGAAAAAUGUUCCUCCUUAGAUUAAAGAUCAUUUGCUAACAGAAGCAGAAGAAAAAUCCUUCAGUUGGUACAAAAAAUUUAUUGUAAAGCAUUCAGCUGAAAUACAUGCAAUCAAAUUUCUUUGACCAUAGAAAGUAAGAAUAUUCCAACACAUACUUAAAGCCAAGUUGUAGCCAACACAGGAUUUUCAUAGUUAAAUUUGAACCUCCUAGUAAACAUUUUAAGUACUGACACCACUAAUAAGUGGUAUGUACAGUGCCCUAAAAGGGAUUAAAAGAAAGCAUAAUGUUCCAUAGAAAUGGCACCCUUAACUUAUACAUUUUGAGACGUUUAAGUAAAUUUGAUGAUGAAACAGUCAAUUGCAAGAUUAAAUAUAUUACGAAUUUACAUACUGUAGGAGCACUGUUAACAAUCUUGUUUCUAUGUCUGUGUUCCUCAUUACUAGCCAAGAUUUUGCAAGUUUAAGGUAAAAUAGUUUGAAGUGGUUCUCCAGUUGACUUCCCUAAAUGCUUUCCCAGACCCUCCAUUCCUGUCCCCAAGCUACUGAAAAAGACAGGGAAACUCAGCUACUAGCAUUAGCUAACCAGCAGUGUAACAAUGUCCUGGCCCUGCUUUGAAGCCCAAGCUACUGUAAGCAUCAGUAGUAUUUUCUAAGGCUAAUCUAAAGCUGAACCUGUUUUAGUAGAUACAGAGCAGUCACCUCAAACAGGUCUGAUCAAGGGUGGAGCAAGGCUAUCCAAUUACCCUGCUGAAGCCAAAACUCAGCAUGUGAUAUUUCCAGAAAUGCUGACAACCUCAUCCUCCAGUUCCAGCAGCCAGUACAACUUUUUCCCUACUCUACAGAAUCUCUUGUACAGGAUUCUUCACCUGAUGAACUGUCAAAACACCAAUAUCCUUCAGUCUAAGACGAAAUGUGUGGCGGGAGUAGCAAGAUAAAA